rnacentral:rRNA from 1 species
CCGACGGUGAGUAACACGUAUGCAAUCCACCUGUAACAGGGGGAUAACCCGGAGAAAUCCGGACUAAUACCCCAUAAUAUGGGCGCUCCGCAUGGAGAGCCCAUUAAAGAGAGCAAUUUUGGUUACAGACGAGCAUGCGCUCCAUUAGCCAGCUGGCGGGGUAACGGCCCACCAAAGCGACGAUGGAUAGGGGUUCUGAGAGGAAGGUCCCCCACAUUGGAACUGAGACACGGUCCAA